AUUAUGCUAUUCAGAACAGCAUGCAGUUUAAAUCUUAUGAAUUGUUUAUUUUUGGAAGUUUCCAUUUAAUAUUUUGGACCACAGGUGAUCAUGGGUAACUAAAACUGCAAAAAGCAAAACUGCCAAUAAGGGACACUACGAUAUCUGAUAAAGGAUUACUAUCUGGAAUACAUAUAGAACUUCUACAACUCAACGAAAAGCCAAACAUUAUAAAAAAUAGAACACAAGUGUUUGUAAGGAUGUGGAGAGGGACUUCCAACCAAGAUGGGGGCAUGGGUAGACACACGGUGCCUCCUCGCACAACCAAAAGAAGGACAACAACAAUUUAAA